UAUCAUGUGGCACUUUGUCAAAGGCUUUUUAGAAGUCCAAGUAUAUGAUGCCAUAGGCUUAUCAAUAUGGGCAUAAAAUGUAAUAUCUUAACUAAAGUAGCCUUCUAGUUGUUUAGAUUCACACUAUUUAAUUUUUAGAUUACUCAAGGUUCAAGAAUGUUGUAACACUGUCUUUGUUCUAGGCCAAGACCAGAGAAAUGUGUUCCAGCCUGCCUUUGCAACAGAUUCUGAGAGUUGCAGUAUACUGAAGGACAACUGUAUCAUAGUCCCAGGCAGCGUGAAGUCAAGGCCAAUCAGGGGUUUAACGAGUGUCCCUUUACAGAAGUCUCAGAUGCUGGAUCUGCCCCUUUAGACUGCAACAGCGAGCAAAGUGGUCUCGUUUGACUACAGGGGGACGGAAGGAAAGCAAACGUCCGGAAAGAAAAACUAAAGAAAACAAUUUUAAAGAAAGAGAGAGAAAAGUGGGGAAUCGUUGGACAGCCCCGAUAUUGUUGUGCAGUGAGCUGGAGACCAUAUACCAUACCAUACCAUAGCUGGUAGCCAGACCACGGACCACAGCGCCCUCUACGGGGUCAAAGAAAUCGGUGCAACUCCCAAGAGUAAAAAUAAAACAGAGCACCUGGGUGGUGUUUCAACUACAAUUUCUGUCUCCCGUGUCAGUGAAUACCCACACCCUUCCACACAGGUAUUCAUAGCAAAUACAUUUACUAAACAGUAACCCCGAAGACAGGAGUGCCCAGCUGAUGACCCCUGUGAAGUCCCACACCCAGCCCAUUCCAGACGGGAGUGCCCAGCUGAUGACCCCUGUGAAGUCCUUCACCCAGCCCAUUCCAGACAGGAGUGCCCAGCUGAUGACCCCUAUGAAGUCCUUCACCCAGCCCAUUCCAGAUGGGAGUACCCAGCUGAGGACCUCUGUGAAGUCCCUCACCCAGCCCAUUCCAGAUGGGAGUGCUCACCUGAUGACCCCUGUGAAGUCCUUCACCCAGCCCAUUCCAGAUGGUUGCCAUGCUGAGAUGCAUCCUGCACUGUGGCUGAUCCCUGGACGACAGAGAGUUCAAGGACGCAGAGGUAGAAGGAAAGAGCUGCAAACAACCAACAGUUACUAGAGGUUUUCGACUUAAAACAUAUUCAAGGGAAUUACUUGGAAAAUCAGAGUCUGCACACCUUACCUUUAUAAAGGUUUAGCACAGUAUUUUUGCAGUUUUACCAUACUUUUCCCAUGGUUUACUAUGCAUUUAUCUUAAGCCCCUUUCACACUGGCAUGCUCUAGCCAGGAUCAUGCGGGUUGGCUACGUAAUUUCACACUGCUUUUGGAGAAGUAAGGUCGACCUGGGUGACAGAAGCAAGUACACAAUGUGCAUAUGCAAUGCCCCGGAAGCAGCAACGUUCACAUGAUCACCCUUUCAUCUGUUCAGGCUGUCAAGAUGUCAUGUCUGUUACGGACGCUUCCAUCCAGGCUUCUCUGGUUUGAAUCGUCGGCCCAAAUGUUGAUUAGAGCAAAUGUUUCUUCAUCGCUCCACGCCAUCCUUGCAGCAAUCUGGCUCAUGGUGUGUCUCAAUCAACAAUAAACAGAAAUGACUCGCGGGUUCCUUGCAGAAGUGAAACGUUGUCGUGUACGGUGCACUCACAUAUUUCAAACUGCAUAUGAGUCAUAUCAAAUAGCUUUAUAUUGUGUUUGUUUGUAUAAGAACAAUAUAGGCUAUGUAAUAACCACAGACAGAUGGACACACUGUGAUGACGUUUCUCACAUUUUUGGCAGCUAAACAAUGGGGAGAAUAUGUAUUUGAAUUAUAAAGUGAAUUAUAAUUUAUAAUGAACUAUAAAGUGCAGCACCAAUUCAAUUGAAUAUAAAAGUUUAAAAAAAAAAUUUGCUGAAGUCUGCAAAACAUAAAAGUGCUUAAUUUUGGUUUGAAACUGGAAAAUUAAUGGUUACCAUGCACAGGCAUGAUGGAAAAUACUGUAAAGUGACUGCAUCUGUAUUUGUCACCUUCUUUUUUUGAAAACAUUUUUUGCGAACUCCAUGGCUGAACAUGUAUUUAAGAAAAAUAAACUCGUGCUCAGUUCUUCGCAGUGCUGUGAAAGAGCGGGCUGGAAAUGUCCGCUCCACCCUCCGCUCUAGCAAUUCCCCCACUCCAUAUACAAUUGUCUCACUCCACUCCACUCACACUCUCUGUCCCCAACACAGGCCCGGAUUAAACAAUAUGCCAAUAACACCAUUCACCAUAAUAUACAUAGGGCCCUCAAAAUAUGGGUUAGCGUGGGCCCCCACGUCCUUUAAUCCGGCCCUGAUUCUAGGGCAUUGCCAAGCACUCCCACCUUUCACUUCCCGAGCUUGGCACCUCUCUGACAUCAACCUACCCUGACCCUAACCCAACCCCAACCUUAACCUUAAGCAACCCCAGCCCAAAAACUUAACCCGAACCCAAUCAUGUGAUGCCCUGAAGACAGUUUUUAGUGGACAUUCUUUUGUGCUGCGUGCAGGGGCAGGAUUCCUUGCUAAGAGGAUUUCAGAAAGUCCUGGAUGCUAGGCAGCUAUCUUUUUAUUAUUAAUAACUCAGGAACCGUUUCAUAUUUUUCACCAAAUCUUCUAAAAGCCCUAACAGAAAUUCAGUAACUGUAGCCUAUACAUGACAGCAAAAAACACAAAAAGAAAACAUGCAAGUAUAGGAAGGAAAAAAGGGAACUUUUACUAAAAAACAGGUAUCCAGAUCUCAAAAACCGCACAAGGUGGCAUCAUGAAACUCUCCACGCUUUCACAACAUUGCAAGUCAAUGGAACAUGCAAAUCUGUGGGCAAUUACGACAAACCACGGCAAGUUAUUAAAGUGCAAAUUUAGGGGUUUAACAUUGAGCACCCAACUCAACUCUAACUAUAGUGGUGUUACUGCACCACUAUAAUAUAUUGCGAUGCAGUCCAGGGGUUUGGUGCAUGACUACAUCCCCCGGGGAGGUGCGGGAGGAGAAGAGUAGGUUUGGAUACCAGUAAUUUAUCCGUCCGUUUUU